UACGUAGGGGGCAAGCGUUGUCCGGAAUUAUUGGGCGUAAAGCGCGUGUAGGCGGCUCGGUAAGUCUGCUGUGAAAGUCCAGGGCUCAACCCUGGAAUGCCGGUGGAUACUGUCGAGCUCGAGUCCGGAAGAGGCGAGUGGAAUUCCUGGUGUAGCGGUGAAAUGCGCAGAUAUCAGGAGGAACACCAAUGGCGAAGGCAGCUCGCUGGGACGGUACUGACGCUGAGGCGCGAAAGCCAGGGGAGCAAACGGG
rnacentral:rRNA from 1 species